rnacentral:rRNA from 1 species
GACGAACGCUGGCGGCGUGCCUAAUACAUGCAAGUUGAGCGCUGAAGGUUGGUACUUGUACCAACUGGAUGAGCAGCGAACGGGUGAGUAACGCGUGGGGAAUCUGCCUUUGAGCGGGGGACAACAUUUGGAAACGAAUGCUAAUACCGCAUAAAAACUUUAAACACAAGUUUUAAGUUUGAAAGAUGCAAUUGCAUCACUCAAAGAUGAUCCCGCGUUGUAUUAGCUAGUUGGUGAGGUAAAGGCUCACCAAGGCGAUGAUACAUAGCCGACCUGAGAGGGUGAUCGGCCACAUUGGGACUGAGACACGGCCCAAACUCCUACGGGAGGCAGCAGUAGGGAAUCUUCGGCAAUGGACGAAAGUCUGACCGAGCAACGCCGCGUGAGUGAAGAAAGGUUUUCGGAUCGUAAAAACUCUGUUGGUAGAGAAAGAAA